CCAGAAUAAAAUUGUUGACGGGUUUAGUGCCUACCUACUUAAGGGGACACUAUAGUCACCAAUACAACUUUAGCUUAAUGAAGCAGUGUUGGUGUAUAGAUCAUGCCUCUGCAGUCUCACUGCUCAAUUCUCUGCCAUUUAGGAGUUAAAUUACUUUGUUUAUGAACCACUGUCACACCUCCCUGCAUGUGACUUGCACAGCCUCCCCAAACACUUCCUGUAAAAAGUAAUCUACCGUUUAUCCGUCCUUCAUUCCAAGUUCUGUAUAAUUUAGGUUUUCUCAUCCCCUGCUAUGUUUAUAGCUUGCUAGACCCAGCAAUAGCCUCCUGUAAGUGAUUAAAGUUCAAUUUACAGGGAAAGAGAUACAAUUGUUUAAGGUAAAUUACAUCUGAUUAAAAGUGAAACCAGUUUUUUUUUUUUUUUCAUGCAGGCUGUGUCAAUCAGAGCCAUGGAGGUGUGACAAGGGCUGCAUAAACAGAAACAAAGUGAUUUAACUCCUAAAAGGCAAUGAAUUGAGCAGUGAAACCUGAGGGGCAUGAUGUACACACAAAAACUGCUUAAUUCAGCUAAAGUUGUUUAGGUGACUAUAAUGUUACUUUAAUAUACUUUUAAGAAAUUUAAGUAUGUAGUUUAAGUAUGUAAUUCCAAAAUGAAGAAGAGAAAAAAAUUAAGUUUCCCACCCUCCGAUAUUAAAGAAACACUCCAAGGACCAUAAUCACUACAGCUUGAUGUCCUGUUUAUGGUGCUGGAGUGACCUGGCACUCUCCCAGAGUAGUCAAAGUUUUUAAGCUAAAGUUGUUUUAGUGACUAUAGUAUUCCUUUAAACAGCAAGUGGUCAAUUGUACCAACUACCACUCAUGAAUUUGAACGAGCCUUUUGGCUAUAUAUAGGCUUGGCUUACAUGUUGAACACUAGAGAUUAUGAGUUUAUUCAUUAAGACUAGAAGUAACAAAUUGCACAUUUUGGAACACAUAGCUGAAUUAGAGAACAUUUCUAAUACGGCUACUUUUUUUUUAAACCAGGCUAUUUUAGCAUAAAUUUGCAAUUUGUUCGUAAAACAUGGUGUGUAAACAAAUCCCUGUGUAUAUGACUUGUUUACUGAGUAUCUGUAUUGAUUGGCAUAUAUUAGAGGACCUGUGAAAUCCUUCAUUACGAAGCUCUACAAGGGAAGAAAGGAUGUCCCCAGUCUAAUCCUGGCUCAUUAGGAGGAACAUGUCAUUUCAUUCUGUAUGAAGCAACGGGUAGGUUUUUCUUGGAGAAACAGCUUGUUUAAAACAUAACAUUCUUGGGCCCUCUGGGACCAGAAAAACUGCUUGUUUUAAAUAGUGCAUCC